GAUAGAAAUCGAUCUAAAGUAUGAUAGAGAUGAUAUGAAGAUAAACUAUCUUUAAUUAAAAAUGACGAUAUGCCAAGUUUCGAGGAUGAAACUUUUAAUAAGGAGGGUAGAAUGUAAUGCCCAGCCCUAAAAAUUCUUCCUUGUAUAAAUCUUAGGACAUCAAUGAGAAAACAAAAAGAAAACAUUGAAGACUACCGCUAGUAGUCUUCUUCCAUAUGAAUA
rnacentral:lncRNA from 1 species